UAUGGCCACAUCAUGCUGAAUCACCAUUUCCCAUACGAUCAAAGUUAAGCAACGUCGAGCCUGGUCAGUACCUAGAUGAGUGACUGCCUGGGAAUACCAGGUGCUGUAUG